ensembl:snRNA U6 U6 spliceosomal RNA
GUGCUUUCUUCAGCAGCACAUCUAUUUAAGUUGGAAUGAUCCAGAGCAGAUUAGCAAGAUCCCUGUUCAAGGAUGGCAUACAAAUUGGAGAAGUGUUCCCUUUUUUU